UAGAUAAUGUCAUUCACAUACUGCAGAACA
rnacentral:piRNA from 1 species